GACGAACGCUGGCGGCGUGCCUAACACAUGCAAGUGGAGCGACGAACCGGGCUUCGGCCCGGGGCAAAGCCGCGAACGGGUGAGUAACACGUGGGUAACCUGCCCCGAUGAUUGGGACAACCCGAGGAAACUCGGGCUAAUACCGAAUGUGCCCUACGGCCUCAAGGCCGCUGGGGAAAGGAAGCUUCGGCCUCCGCAUC
rnacentral:rRNA from 1 species